CGUGGCUCUGGGCACGUGACCGAGGCUCCUGUCAUCCUCCUGCGGCCGCUCCUGCUCCUGCUUCCUUCUGCCUGUGGCGCCCUCAGCGUCCCCUGGGUGCGGGAAGCUCUGCACCUCCCGGGGGCCGUGGCUCACGCCGCCGCUCAGACCUCGGUUCCGGGCCGGAGACGCCAACUCGACACCGACUCGGGGCCUCAGCCGGCGGCGGCCCCCACGGCCUGGACCGCAGCGUCCUCCCCGCGGCGGCUGGAUCUGUUGAAAAAAAUCCAAGAUCAUAAAAUUUAGAUGACCAAAAUGGAUAUCCGAGGUGCCGUGGAUGCUGCUGUUCCCACGAACAUUAUUGCUGCCAAGGCUGCAGAGGUUCGUGCAAACAAAGUGAACUGGCAGUCCUAUCUUCAGGGGCAGAUGAUUUCUGCUGAAGAUUGUGAAUUCAUUCAAAGGUUUGAAAUGAAAAGAAGUCCUGAAGAGAAGCAGGAGAUGCUCCAAACUGAAGGCAGUCAGUGUGCUAAAACAGUUAUAAAUUUGAUGACUCAUAUCUCCAAAGAACAGACAGUUCAGUACAUACUAACUAUGGUGGAUGAUAUGCUGCAGGAAAAUCACCAGCGGGUUAGCAUUUUCUUUGAUUAUGCUAAACGCAGCAAGAACACUGCCUGGUCCUACUUUUUGCCAAUGUUGAAUCGCCAGGAUCUCUUUACUGUUCAUAUGGCAGCAAGAAUUAUUGCAAAAUUAGCAGCUUGGGGAAAAGAACUGAUGGAAGGCAGUGACUUAAAUUACUAUUUCAAUUGGAUAAAAACUCAACUCAGUUCACAGAAACUGCGUGGUAGCGGUGUCGGUGUUGAAACAGGAACAGUCUCUUCAAGUGAUAGUUCUCAGUAUGUGCAGUGUGUUGCUGGGUGCCUGCAGCUGAUGCUUCGGGUCAAUGAGUAUCGCUUUGCCUGGGUAGAAGCAGAUGGGGUAAACUGCAUAAUGGGAGUUUUGAGUAACAAGUGUGGCUUUCAACUCCAAUAUCAAAUGAUUUUUUCAAUAUGGCUCCUGGCAUUCAGUCCUCAAAUGUGUGAACAUCUGCGGCGUUACAAUAUCAUUCCUAUCCUGUCCGAUAUCCUUCAAGAAUCGGUCAAAGAGAAAGUGACAAGAAUCAUUCUUGCAGCAUUCCGUAACUUUUUAGAAAAAUCGACUGAAAGAGAAACUCGCCAAGAAUAUGCUCUGGCUAUGAUUCAGUGCAAGGUUCUGAAACAGUUGGAGAACUUGGAACAGCAAAAGUAUGACGAUGAAGAUAUCAGUGAAGAUAUAAAAUUUCUGUUGGAAAAACUUGGUGAGAGUGUUCAAGAUCUAAGCUCAUUUGAUGAAUACAGUUCGGAACUUAAAUCUGGAAGAUUGGAGUGGAGUCCUGUGCACAAAUCUGAGAAAUUUUGGAGAGAAAAUGCUGUAAGGUUAAAUGAGAAGAAUUAUGAGCUUUUAAAAAUUUUGACAAAACUUCUGGAGGUGUCGGAUGAUCCACAAGUCUUAGCUGUUGCUGCUCAUGAUGUUGGAGAAUAUGUGCGGCAUUAUCCACGAGGCAAACGGGUUAUUGAACAGCUUGGCGGGAAGCAGCUGGUAAUGAACCACAUGCACCAUGAGGACCAGCAAGUUCGCUACAAUGCUCUUCUGGCUGUGCAGAAGCUCAUGGUGCACAACUGAAUGAUUUUAAAUGUAAUCAGCCUCUAAUUCAGAAGCAACAGUAUGUGCAUAUGGACAGCUCAGGACUUCAGGAAAGAAACACUGAAUUUUGGAAUAUCUUGGUAAACAGCUCCAAUCUGAGCAACCCCAGACUGCUGCUGCCCGAAGCUGAAUGUGUCCUCCAACCUCAGAAUCUCCAGCAGUCGUGUUUAACCUGGGACAGAGUACCUGGAAUAGGAAUCUUAGUAGUUAGGGUCAGGAGCAAAUACCUUUUCAUUUUACUUGCACUUAUCUUCUGUUGUGUCACUUUUCCCAAUGCUGAUUUUUGUUAAAUGUGUUUGCCCAUUAAGUUGUAUAAAAGUAAGUGCUUUCUGUUGCUAAGGAGAAGAUUACUCACAUAUACUGCUUGUAAUUUCUGUAUUUAUUGUUCUCUGAAAAUGAGUAUAGUUAUUAAAGGAUUCUCACUUCGAAAAGGUUUUGCUCUUUACUUGUUCCUUACUCAGACUUUAACAACAAUCAUCUUUUUUUCCCUAGCCAAAUUGAUAAAAUUGUUGCAAAAUAGUGAAUGGUAAAUAAAUGUUAAAAUUA